rnacentral:rRNA from 2 species
GGACUACACGGGUAUCUAAUCCUGUUUGCUCCCCACGCUCUCGCGCCUCAGCGUCAGUAUCUGUCCAGGUAGCCGCCUUCGCCACUGGUGUUCCUUCCGAUCUCUACGCAUUUCACCGCUACACCGGAAAUUCCACUACCCUCUACAGUACUCCAGUCAAUCAGUAUAAGAUGACCUUCCUAGGUUAAGCCCAGGGAUUUUACAUCUCACUUAAUCAACCGCCUACGCGCCCUUUACGCCCAGUAACUCCGAUUAACGCUUGCACCCUCUGUAUUACCGCGGCGGCUGGCAC